rnacentral:lncRNA from 1 species
AGGGUUCUGUUGAUGGUGUGGGCGUGUCACCGGGCCUGGGGAGGGUCGGGGGGGCAAGGUCGGCUGCAGGCGGAUGUAUCUUCCCUGGACUGUAGGGUGUGCGGGUCCGAAGGGGGCGAGACCCCAUCAUUAGCCUCAUCGUAUGCCCUCCCUUUCCUAGUUUUCAGUUUCAGAAAGCUCAGCAGUGCCAGUCACUACGGAGGCUUCCUGGGACAUAUCCCAACACUAAGAGAAAAAGAGGUUUUGUAGUGUCCAGAUCCAAGGGCAUCUCCCAGCUGGAGGAGAAGGAGAUGCCAUGGCCCUGCUGGGGUCUUUAUAUCCAGGUGAGUGGUGAGGUAGUUUCCUAGGGAAGGCAGUGAUCCUAUAUGCAUGAGCUGUGAGGCAUGUGGCAUGGAGAUCAGGAUGACCCAAACUGUCCUUUACUGGCUCCCUUCCUGCCCCCAUCCCUCUAAGUGCAGGUCCACUGUGACAUCCCCUGUGCUACUAUUUGGGUAGGAUGGUCAUUUUCUUGGUGACCAAGUGUCCACCUGAUGAACUGAUUA